UCUGAGGCUUCAAUAUUUGUCAAAUAUCUCUUCAAAUUUUUGUUCUCUUAUUAUUAUUAUUAUUAUUAUUAGGUCAAAGAAUGGGAUGGAAACAAAGUGAGAGGCACAUUUGUUCCAAAAGCUAAAGGACGAUGUGUUGAAUCUCAUAUUUCUAUAACAACGUGCGCAGUGCUAAUAUGCACACGAGGAGCUGAAAAGCAAUUAUAGCAAUCUAAUAUUAGAGAUCAAAAGUGAAGCGAAGCAGGGGAAUCAGGCAUGAAAUUUGUUCAUUGUUCAUUUCUCAGACUCAACGUGAACGUUCUUGUAUGGGAAACUUGGGCUGCGGGGAGUUGCAUCACGCAGUCACAAAGCUGUUCUUUGAAAGGAGCUUUUUGCAUUGAAAAACAAACAAUAACAACAAGAGAGUCCUUCUGACGGAUCACAGAUGAAGCAAAGCGGUUUUAUUUCCUGCCAUAGGAACUGGUUAAGAGAAUUAGAAGCUGUCUGAGGCAUCAAGCUGGGUGUGAUAAUGAGAUGGUGAGAUGGGUUAUAAAUAAUGUCAUUAAUUCACAUGUCCUGCUAACACAUGCCACUCCAGUUAACGUACAAAUCCCAAAUCCCUCAAUGCAACGCUCGCUGACCUCGUCGUUAGAGGAUCUAAUAGCAUGAAGCCUACUUUGCACAAAUCUGCAAGCUAGAAUUGGUAAUAACUGUGGCAGCAUUUCUGCUCCCAAACUAAAAGGCAGAAGGAUUCCUGUCAUCAGAAACACUGACUUUCUUCAUGUCUUCUGUUGCCUUUCCCAGGUGCUGGGAAUGCAUCCUGCCUCUCCUCAGGUACUUUGGGAUGUCAAAGUGCCCUGCAUGCAGCUGGCACAGCACCCGAAGGGAAUCACUACUUCUACCUGAAAAGGUCCUUUGUUCUCCAUGAGCAUCACAUGCGGUCUGAGUAAUGCUUCUUCUGCUUCUAUAUUAAGAGAGAGAAUGCACCGGGUGUUUUCAACAGGCAGGAAAACCACCUCUCUGCGGCACUGUGACUUUUGUCACUGACAGUUUCUGUGGUGUUCAUGUUUUCUUCUUCAUUCCCAGAGUCUGUAGAAUUUCAUCAUCUCCAAAGAUAGUAUUUAAGUUGCCCAUCUUGUCAAUGAAUUAAACCCUGGUAAUUACGGGCUUUUCUAAAUAACCUAAUAGAGAUGCUUCUGCUUUGAUGGGGUGAGUUUAGCUCUAAAGCAAUAUUUAUAAUGGACUACAAAAACUGUGAUCAACAGGAAUGCUUUGUCUGGAGAGUAAUGGUCCUCUCUGCCCUGCUUGCCUAUAGCUCAACUUCUGAUUGACAAGGCUGGGAAUGAAGUACUGUUGAGCCAGUGGUCAUUUCAUCAAGGGAUUCAGGGGAGCAGUGGUUCUUCCAAAGAAACCCUUCCCUAGCCAACCUGACUCAGUGACGUGGCUGAUUCUGAUGUUGCUAGGCUGGAUCUGCUGCCUGUGCUGCUCAGCCCUCCUUAACGUAAAAUAUUCAUGAGUGUUGCCUCUAGCUGAUCUACAUCUUGAGGGGCUUCAUUCCCCAGUCCAACCUGCUCUGCAAUCAUGAUAUUGACUUACAAACCACGAGAUUUAGAGGGUAAUAUAGAUGGGUUUUUUUUUCCUCCUUCUAGGAUUUGAGUGUUCAGGGCGCAUAUAUUCAGGCUUUCUUCUGAGCCUUUUGGGGACGCAAAGCAAACGGUGAUACUCCUCUAAAGCCACACCUGGUGCAGCUCCACGAAUGGCACUUGCUAGAGGGAGAUCUGGCAAAAUCAUGGCAGCUCCCUUUUAAAUCUAUGCUAAAAUAGUUUGGUUUUGUAAUAGGAUGCUGCUAGCUGGGCAACGCUGGCUCGCAAUGCUUCUGAUGGUGUUUCUCCUUUGGUUUCUGUAACGCUGGGAUAUCUGUGUAUCAGCCUGGAGACCGAUGCCAGAAGAACUGAUUUAAUUCCUGGUUUGGCCUCAGCAGCUCCUCUGUGGGUUGCAUAAGAAACUUUGCUUUUCUGCAAUUACAACCUGGUCCUGAGGACAGGAGGCUUUGCCGUCCCCUCAGCCAUGGGCCUGCCUCGGCCAUCUGCUGCUGCAGCAAGACCUGGAGGUGGCAUAAAACACACAUAGCUUCUUCUAGAAGAAAUUAAAAGUGGUUCUUUUAUAUUGGUAGAUGUCACGCAUCAACUGGCUUAUAAACAUAACUUCAACUCCUAAAAAAGGCGAUUAUCACCUUUAUACUUCCUUAAUAGCAUCGUUUUAAAGUGAGUUACUGACAUCAUAUAUUACCUUCUUCCCCUACCAUAAAUGGUCUCUCCUUGCUGUGUUUUAUUACAUAUUGUAAAUUCAUUCAAGCAGUAUAUUUUGCUUUCAGCAAGGUAUCCUCUGUUACUUUUCCUGUGCAGGAUAAAUUGAGAUAAAUUUUGCCCGUGCCUGCGUUUUGCUCGUGGCAUCCAUCUUUGCCCAUGAAAAGUUACAGCUGGAGUUGAGCAGGACUUGAGAAAUGGUCACAUUGCACUGCAGAAAGUUACAGAUCACCAGGCUGCAGGCGAGCUGUGUACAGAGGGCUCAUUGAAGCAGCCAGGAGUUUAAUAGGAAGUGAAAAACAUAAAGGAGUGUGAUGUAUUCUCUAAUGCUUAUCCUGAUAAAGCAAUAAGUGCAUCACAAGGAAGUGACACCAGUUAUUUACCAUGCCAUCAGGAGAUCAUACAGAAGCUUAUCGCCCCUGGCACUGCUGUUUGCUGCUGGUUACCACAUGUUUUGCCAUUGGAGGAUUUAUUGCCAGGGCUGUAGAAAAGUAGAGUUGUGUUUUUGUGGCUGUUUGGCUUGGUUGGUUGUUUUUUUUGUUUGUUUUUAUCUUUAUUUUUUUGUGAGGCUUUGAAUAGAAUCAUUAAGGUUGGAAAAGACCACCAAGAUUGUGUAGUCCAGCCAUCAGCCCAUCCCCAGCAAUGCAGAGCUCAAACAAGAAGGGAAAUAAUGAAUCGGGUCCCCCUGUCAGUGGGGUUGGGCAGUGGGCAGCCCUGGGUCGGGAUCAGAGGUUGCCAUCCCCAUGGGCUUUCCCUGCAGCAUAUCAUAGAACCAUAGAAUGGCCUGGGUUGAAAAGGACCACUGUGACCAUCUCGUUCCAACCCCCUGCUAUGUGCAGGGUCGCCAACCAGCAGACCAGGCUGCCCAGAGCCACAUCCAGCCUGGCCUUGAAUGCCUCCAGGGAUGGGGCAUCCACAGCCUCCUUGGGCUUUGUUCAGUGCGUCACCACCCUCUGUGUGAAAAACUUCCUUCUAAAUGUGUGAUGCGUGAUGGGAUGUGUGAGCUUCUCCUGCGCCUUCCCCUCCCGAAAUGCUGCUCGCUUCUCACCGACAUCAAAGUGUUUUAUUUAAAAGCACUUAAAUAUGCUGAGCACAGUUUGAUUUUGUAUUACCAGAAUUUCCAAGAGGACGAGGGUGUGAUUUUCACAUUACAAGGGAGUAAUGUCGCAUCUCAGCUCCAAGUGAGUUUUCAGAGCCAGGUUACAAAAUACAGGCGAUGAAAUAUGCAGCAGAAGCCUGGCAUGGCUGCAUGUGUUGAGGGAAUCAACCCUUGCAGUGACUGAAAACGCAUCUCUGGGGGUACUGCUGGGCACCGCUACAAAUCCCAUUCAAAUGGACUCGCUCUGAAUGUCACUGCAAAUUUCACUUCUGUUGAGAUGGUUUUAUCCAAAGGGCAGGAAUGCAUCUGGAGGGGACUUGUGGGAGGAGAUCCUGUGCUCUGCUGGCCCAUCUCUCUUGGCUAACCUCCACAAAACCUCUGCAGUUCCUUCUGCCCACAUACACUGCUGAGAGAAGAGAAGCCUCCGCUCGGGAGGAUUUAGCAUUCUGAUUUUCCUGGAAAGAAGAUUCCCAGCACAUAAGAGGGUUUACAGAGCACGCUCUGAUGCUUCUUCCAAAAAAUUCCAUGCAGGCUGGGUGAGAUAUUUUGGACAGAGAAUGAUGCUGAGAAGACGCACCAUUGGCACCUUGGACCUGGGCAUCCCGGAGGCUCCAGAGCAGAGAGAUCUGUGCCAGCUCUGCAGGAACCUGGCUCAUACUUAAAAGUAGGAGCAGCCAUUCCCAUUGCUCUGGGUAACACGUGGUUUCCUCUCACGCUGCUGGUGGCACUCAGGUUGCCUGGAACUGGGGAAGAAUUAACAAAACACAGAAAUUGGAUGUUUAGCUUACUGACAAGGGCAAGUUGUGAUAUACUGCACUUUUCAAGUGUUUAUUCCCCUGGUCUCGUCUGCAAGCCAUGAAGGCAGGAAUCAUGCCAGUGCUCACCAAACAACAUCUGAAUUCUCCAUACAACUCUGCUUUGCUGUGGUGUUUAAUUACCCUCAGAAGUUGUUCCUGGGCGUGCAUGUGUGACUAAAACAGCUACCAUUAAAGACAAGUUCUGCAUUGCAUUACUGGACUAAUAUUGCUGAGAAUAAUGUGACCAGAAUAGCUACUCGUGCCUCAAGGCCAGAAAUGAUCCAUGCCAAGCCCACCUCCAUCCCUCCCCCUGUAUUGCCUCAUCUGUGCUGACAUUUCCUUGUGAAUAUUUAAGCAUCCUUAAUAUAGCACUGUCAUCGGAGCUGACGACAGCGAUCCCUAGAUCUCCCUUGGCAGUGGACUAAUUGUCUAAGUGCUCUUGCUGUUGGAGAGGAGCACUGACAGAUUAACUCAGACCCUGUAAGCAAAAAGCUCUCUUCUUCCUUUCAAUAAAAUCCCUGUCUGCAUCUGUGGCUGAAAGCACAAAAGCUCAGCACUGAGAUGUACCUACUGCCUUUAAGGAUAAAUCAAACCAACUCUGCGCCGUCGCUUCCUGUAAGCAUUACAGCCCCAGAGAAAUGCACCCUCACCGUUACGAGGGAAGACACCCUCUGCCUCUCCCACACCAAAUCCCAGCAGCAGUGCUUUGCCAAAGAGCCAAAAAGACCAAGUGCUGAGCUGCACAGAAAGGGAUGGAUGUGGAUGACUCGCCCUGAAAUGGAAGACUCCAUCAAGUCAUGACACAAUGCAGGAUGGACUGAGCAAAUCAUAGGCUGUGUUUGUCAUAGAAUCAUUAAGGCUGGAAAAGACCUUCAAGAUCACCAAGUCCAACCUCAGCCCACCCCACCAUGCCCAUCACCACGUCCCUCAGUGCCACAUCUCCAUGGUUCUGGAGCACCUCCAGGGAUGGUGAUCCCACCACCACUCCCUGGGCAGCCCCGUGCCAGUACACCAUCACUCUUCCUGAGAAGUUUUCCCCAGUAUCCAACCUGAACCUAUGCUGGCACUUGAGGCCAUUCCUCUCAUCCUGUUGCUUCUUGCCUCCAACCUGGAUAAAGAACCAAUGGUCCCAUUACCCACUGCCAUUUUGGAUGGUCCUGUGUGGGGCCAGGAGCUGGACUCAAUGAUCCUCAUGGGUCCCUUCCAGCUCGGGAUAUUCUAUGGUUCUAUGAUUCUACCCUGUAGAGAUUAAGGUGCUUCCUGAAUAACAGGCAUCGCUCUGCCUGAGCAAAGAGGACGACAACAGAAAGUUUCAGCUACAGAAAUGAUCACAGCCACUGUUUCCAAAUCAUGGCUGAAGGAGUUUAAAAUAACAACAAAGAAUAGAAAACUGCUUUUGAGAGACAAAGUAAGUUUCUCUACAGAACUAACAGACAUGAAAUCGUAAUUUUCUUCAUUAACUCAUCUUGCUGUAGAUGAAAUGGGGUUUCAGAGGGAAUUCAGAAAUCAUUUCUUCCACAUGAAGAGUUUGUACACUUAAUUUGUUGCAGUAAACCACCAUUCUGCAUGCUGAGGACCUCUGUGUUAGCAGAUGAUGAAACAGCAUCUGCCUUAACUGUUCUUUUCUCCAUUUAACUGGUAAAGUAUUUCCAUCUCAGUGAUGAGAUGAAAAACACAGAGGAGAAAAUCACAGAAGAAAAGAAAUUCACAGUUUUCUAGCCAGAGCAUUCAAGUGGAAUAGCUAAUAUUGCCAGCUUCAGCACAAAGCAAAAUAAUGGGGAAUAUUUUUACACAACUUAUUACAAUGAACAGAUGCAGCACGAGCAUUUCGAAGGCACGCGUUGCAUGCAAGCAGGAUUUCAAAGCAACGUAAGGGACUUACAGAUUCAGAGAUAUAUCUUUUUCAUUACCCCAAACACUACACUUGUCUUCAAUCUAAAAACAAACAUUGACAAUGGAAGAAUUUAUAGGCUCAGGAGUCUGAGAUGUGGCUCUGGUUUCAUAGAUGGGUGCUUGGAAGAAGGUAAUUUGAAACGAUAGACUCAUAAUUGUGCCCAGCGUUGGAGCUGCACACUGAUAGCGGAGGCUGCAGAAACUCCCUCCAACAACACAUCCGUGAGCCACAACCUGCCGAGAACAGGAAUGUGAGGUUGGUUUGAACUCACUCUUCAGGCUUCUGGGGCAGCACAAGGGGUGUUUACCACCUUGGUCUUUCUUUUCAAACAGUGCCCCAGGUACUGGGCUUUGACACCUCUCAAUCCAUGCAGAAUAUGGCUCUUUUCACUCAACUCUCACUAAAACAUUAAUAAAGAAUUUUUCCAACAGCUCCUUUCUUUUCACCUCCCUCCAACAUUUCUCAUCUAUUAUGCCCAGCAUCUUACAGCAUAUAAAAAUACAUCACUGAAUCUGAAGUGAAAUCUGAAGAGUUUUAAUUGCUCUGAGUCUUGGGAGGCCCCAGCCCCAUCCUCAACAGUGACGCAUUCAAGGAUUCAGCUCUUGGAUUAAUCCCAGGGCUCAGUGGAUGGAUCCAAGGAUGAAAUUUAAAGAAGAGGUUGGGAAUGAUGAUGUCACUGAUCCCAGAAACCCUUCUGGUGAGGAGGAUCUGGCAGUGGGCUCUCCCUACAAAUACACAGGGGUUUUAUGGCAUUCAGUCCCAUGUUUGAUCUGCCAUCGCUCCUUUGUGGCACUGAGGUUAUGGGCAUGGGGUAGAGGGGUUGAUAGUUGGACUCUGUGAUCUUAGUGGCCUUUUCCAGCCUUCACGAUUCUAUGAUUCAUUGCUGUUGCACUGUGUGCAAAGGAGCUGCGGACCAAAAUUAUCAGAAAUAACUUAAUUAUUGUGCCAAGGCCUUCGGAGCUCAGAAAAUGGAUGACUGCAGAGCAUAAUUCUUUUCCUUGCAAUAUUUUGGCAGGGUGUUGAACACAGAAAAGGCACUGUUCCAACAACGAUCAGAAGGGGCAACUGCUAUCCACUAUUUAUUCUCUGUGGUUAACACAAUAUUUUGAGCACAACCAUUGAGCAGCAAGCUCUCUUGGCACUGCAGGUGCUGUUUAGAUCUUCUCCCUUGUGUGUGUAACACAUGGAACUGGAGAACCAGCACUUACCAGUGUUCACAUAUCAAAGACAUUACAUAAAGAAGCAGCGAACAGGAACGUGGGGAGGCCUGACCGAAUUGCUGCUCUUUUUUGGGAGCUUUCAAAGCUUUUGUCUGCCUCACCAUACGUUAUCUUGUUGGGAAAUGGUGUCUUCGUACCACUCUCUGUAGGAGUGGAUUUCGUCCCCGUAAGUAACUAGCCAUAGAUAUCAGGCAAAGUGGACGUGCAGGUUUAUAGCUUCAUUACCCGCUUUAGCAUCUAUCAGUACUGCAAGGAGAAAUCACAGAGGGAGAUAUUUGUACGUCUGCAAAUGGCCAAGAAAGCUGAAAUCUACAGUAGUCGGAAUCUUUCGCUGCUGUUAGCAAAAUGCAGUUAAAAGCAGUUUACUGAGCAUACUUAUCUGAUGGCUGUUUGUAAUUUCCAAGCCCUGUGCUGGCUGUGCCCCACACACUGCUCAGCAGCCACCUCGGAGCUCUGAGCCUUUUCUCAGUAAGGAGGAAUCAGAACAAACCGAUUUGUUUCAUAGCGCACUACAAUCCUUGCCCGGAUCAAACUGCAUCUGCACACGAGGGUUGCUGGAGUUACAGAAAGCACAGUAUAGUGCCAGGGAAGAAAAUAAGUCCCUGGGAGGAAGCUACAGAAGUGAUCUUGUUGGGAAGAGCUGAGCAGUGUGGAUAAUGAGGGUCCUCCCAAAAUGCCAGGGGCUGAGCAGGGCUCGCAGGUUGCUGCUGGUGCAGUUCAGCCACCUCUUGCCAUUUAAAUGCUAUCACAACUCCUAUAACUUUCAAAAUAAUAGAAAAAAAAGUAAUGAGCAGUACAUUAAAAUGAAACAUUGCUUGUUCUGGGAAAGCAACUAACCGAAAUACAAAGGACCUUUGCAGUGUCACAGAGAUUUUCCUGACAUCAUAAUGGCUGGUGGGAAGGGCUUGUGUUUGUCUGUGCUCUGCUGCCAGCCUAAUCGGAUCAGCACUGCUAAUACAGUUGAUUUCCCUCUUGCUGACUUUGGGUGUAUAGAUGUGUGUGCAGCUCAGACCAGGGGAGAAAGAAGAAAAUAUUUGCCCCUCCUCUGCUUUUGGCAGCUUUUGGGAGGGGGAUGGCAUCAACUGUAGGAAAUCUAUGUACUGACCAAGAUGCACAGAGGCACAAGAGAAGGGAGGCAAGCCCCAUGUGGACACACUGCCCUGUAUCGCCUGUGCACGAAAUUCCCAGCAUGGUUGAUGCUUUUAGCUUAUUUUAUUUUCUUAAAACACUGCUAAGACUCGUUUUAUCAAGUACCAUUUGCUGGUCUAAUAAAAUAUUGUCAUGUCUCAUGAAGGAAAGCCAGCUGCUCAGCAGAUGAAGCUGUCCAGCAGAGUGCUGGUGACAGCGCUGCAGAUGCGCUUCGAUGCAAUCAAUUUAGGAUAACAAUGCUGAGCAAAGGAGCAGAUGUGCCAGUCUCCUGGCUUGGCUUUGGAUGCUGCAACUGAUGGCAGCUUCUCUAGUCCUGGUCCCCUCCACAUUUAGCAGUGAGUUUUGCCUGCAGCCAGGCUGAGAGUUAACUUGGGUAAGCAGCAGCCACUCCUCCUUCCUCACCUAUGCUGAUUUUCUUUGAGUGUUCCUAAGUGCCUUUUCAAACCAAAUAUAACUUAGCUGGCCCACUGCUUUCUGACAAAUAUCUUUCCUAGCUUUAUUUAUCAUACAGCCAUAAAUAGUUCACUCAACGCUGCACCUAUAGAGCCUGCUUAAAGAUUUUUUUUCUACCAACUGUAUUUCAUCUUGCAGAAAGUGGAAUAUUUACAGUGUUUGUCACCAUUCAGGUAACAUGUGUCAGUUGGCUGCUCGGAACCCAUCACGUAAAGGAGGAAAAGCCCAACAGAAAUGCAACUGGAUACAAUAAAUACUGUGCUUGUGAGUUUGGGCAUUCAGACACACUGUGAGUCAACUUUGAAAAAGCAACUGAACAGAACACAUCACCUUUGCAUUCUCACCUAGUGAGGGCUCCUAAUGCCAUGACAUGCCCACACACAGCGCUGCCCCUCAACAGGUGGGGUGCACUUUGUCCCCCCAAAGGCAUGGAUGUGGAUUGCACACAGAGAAACUUAAGCACAGCACCUCCAAAUUGCACUGUGCUCAAAGGAGCCCAAGCAUGCAUGACUCUUGCUGGGGUCAGAAACACCAGCAGGACCUCGUGCCUCUAUCUCUCUGCAGAUUUCUGCUGCAGCUCCAUUGUUCAGCAAUGUGGUCUCUUAGCACACUUUCCCUUUUUCCACACUCGUUCACUCAGGCAGACAGCCAACUAUAAAGCAUUCGCUGAACUCAUCCACAACACCUUGGUAACAACUGAAGCUGACCCCUGAGAACAGGGAAUCACCAACACCAUUAAGGAGAUUUCACGUGCUUCGUUGUCAUUUCUGAGGAUGAAGCUGAGCUGCCUGUUCAGAUGGGUACUAUGAUGGGGUCACACAUAGUCCUGCAGUCACUCUUCCCCGAUAACGUGACAAUGUCACAUCCAUGCAAUCAAAGAUUAUGUUGCCUUUUGUGAUGUCUUACCCUGGUCCAAGCACAACAAGAAAAAAAGUUGCCUGUUUUGCACAUCACUGGCUAUUAGGCUAUGUCUGGUUACAUCACAUCAGUUGACACGACAUAAAACAAUGUAAGCAGAUCAGAUGUGACAUAAAUGUCACGUUGCAUCAGGUUUUAAAGAAAUUGGCAGCUAUUACACGACGGAUGAAAAAUGCCAAGAGACGCUCAGCCAUCAUACAGGUAGACCUUCAAGAUAAAGUGAUGUUACCUACCAAACAUAGCCCACAGCUUUGUAUUCUAGUCAUAGAUUCAUGCAGGUUGGAAAAGACCUCUAAGAUCAUCCAGUCUGAUCGUUCACCCACCACCAACAUUGCUCACUGCACCAUGUCUCUCAGUGCCACAUCUACACAUUGCUUGAACACCUCCAGGAACGGUGACCCCACCACCUCCCUGGGCAGCUGUGCCACUGCAUCACCACUCCUUUGGCAAAGAAAUUUUCCCUAACAUCCAACCUGAACCUCCCCUGGUGCAACCUGAGGCCAUUCCCUCUCAUCCCAUCAAAAUGACACAUUAUCAGCUUAUGAAAUGAUCACUUUUACUCUCUGUUAUGCUCCUAUUCCUCUCAAGAAGACGCAGACGUGGUGACCAUUAUCCCUUAUAAAGCACCCAUAAGCAGCAAAUUCACCGACCGAAAAAUAGACAAAACAUGGAGUCUGACUCAAAAAAACACUGAAAUCAAUAACAGGCUAUCUAUUGACUCAAACAGGAAAUGGAUCAGCACCUCUAUGCCUCAGUAAAUAUUUUUACUAUACAACUAAUUUCCCAUUUGAAGGAAAAGCAUCAUUUUUUGUUGGUCAGUGGGAAUAAAGGAGCAAAACAAAUUUAUGUAACAGAGCAAACAGAUUACAAAAGAGAGGUAGCACUUACGUAAGGUAUCAGUGCUAAUGCCAGGCUUGCUUUUAUCAACGUUAUCUUCAUUUUCCACUCAAACAGAAGAGAGUAAAUGAGAGAGCAAGCCUGAUGUUUGCAGCAGCAGUAGUGACAUGGCUUAUGUACGUGCUCCUCCUACCCACUGCUGGCAGAGCAAACGUGGUGCC